rnacentral:rRNA from 1 species
UAACACGUAGGGGCCGAGCGUUGUCCGGAGUUACUGGGCGUAAAGCGCGCGCAGGCGGCCUGUCGCAUCACCGGUGAAAGCCCCACGCUCAACGUGGGAGGGUCCGGUGAGAUGGGCAGGCUGGAGGCAGGGCGAGGCCGGUGGAAUUCCGGGUGUAGUGGUGAAAUGCGUAGAGAUCCGGAGGAACACCAGUGGCGUAGGCGGCCGGCUGGACCUGUCCUGACGCUGAGGCGCGAAGGCGUGGGGAGCGAACGGGAUUAGAUACCCCGGUAGUCCACGCAGUAAACGAUGGGCACUGGGUGUGGCGGGAGUUGACCCCUGCCGUGCCGGAGUUAACACGGUAAGUGCCCCGCCUGGGGAGUACGGCCGCAAGGCUA